rnacentral:rRNA from 1 species
GAUAAGUAAUGCGAAUUGCAGAAUUCCAGUGAGUCAUCGAAUCUUUGAACGCACAUUGCGCCCUUUGGUAUUCCGAAGGGCAUGCCUGUUCGAGCGUCAUU